AAAAAAAAAAAAAAAGGCAGCCCGAUGCAGUAAACUCUCACUAUGCACGGGGUCUGGAGAAGGGCCGAAUCAUAAGGGUCUAUAUUGUAUGCAGCCUUACCCUGCAUUUCUGCAAGAGGUUGUUUCUACGGCUCGAACUCGUGACCUCCUGGUCACAUGGUAGCAACUUAACCAGUUACGCCAAGGCUCCCCUUCUUAGAAGUACUUACACUAUGUCAAAAAUUUUAUUUAUCAAAAAAUAAACAGCUUAUGACCUAUAUAUAUAUGCUGUGGAGAGUUUAUCACCUUCAAAUAAUAGAGCAUUUAAGAAGCUCUACAGAAUGUAUCAAAAACCAUGGCCUUUUAUCUUGAUGGGAUAUUUCUUCUCCUGUUGCUUUUCACACUGAAUUCUCCCUAAAAACCAUAUACUACUACUGAAUAUCACAAUAAUAUGACAGAUAGGCAAACCUGAUGACUUAAGCUUCAUUUCUUCCUAAACAAAUGCAACUAACCUGAAACGUCUGUAUCUGCAGAACAAUGCAAUUGGAGGGAGAUUUCAUGAGUUUUUCAGAAACCUCUCGGAUAAUCUAGCCUUUGUCGACUUGUCAAGCAAUCGAUUUUCUGGACAUAUCCCGAUAGAGAUUGGGAAAUUUGUUAACCUGGAAGAACUUAGGCUGAGCAGCAACCAACUCACAGGUAUCAUUCCACCGACUAUUGGAAAGCUUUAUAAGCUACAAUAUUUAAUCUUGUCAUGGAAUUACUUCAGUCAUUCAAACAAGCUUAACUUUAAGCUUGUCAUAAUCUCUGUGAUAUUGGGGAUUUUGGGGCUAGUUGUUAUGGUUGGUUUUCCCUUCUCCUCUAUCGGUUCCAAAGGACCAAACAGACAUUUCCUUCUUUACAUAAAUAUCUAAACCAACUCCUAUCUAUGUCCUACCAAAGUAUUCUCAAAGUUACCAAUGGGUUUUCCACGAACAACUUGAUUGGUGUUGGGAGUCAUGGAUGUUUAUAAGGGAAUUGUUGAAACGGAUGAAGGUAAAAAUGUUGCUAUAAAAGUGUUGAAUCAUUCACAGCAUCAAAAGUUUCAGAGCAGAAUGUGAGGCCCUGAAAUGUUAGACAUCGUAAUUUAGUCAAGCUAGUCACUGCAUGUUCUGGUGUUGAUUAUCGUGGAAAUGACUUCAAGGCUCUGGUUUAUGAGCUUAUGGCCAAUGGAAGUUUGGAGGACUGGCUGCAUCCAGAUUAUUCAAGAGCAGAUGGUCAGUCAAUUAUAAGGUUGGGGUUUCUGCAACGGCUCAAUAUUGCUAUUGAUGUUGCUGGUGCAAUCCAUUAUCUUCAUAAUGAUUGUCAGAUACCAAUAGUUCAUUGUGAUCUCAAACCGAGCAACGUUCUCCUCGACGAUGAAUUGGUUGCCCAUGUUGGUGAUUUUUGAUUGGCACGUUUCCUACUACUGACUAAUAAAACAACACCUGAAAUUCAGACAAGCUCUACAACUGUUAAAGGAUCUAUCGGCUACACAGCUCCAGAGUAUGGGAUGGGAAGCAAGCCAUCAAAUAAUGUUAUCAAAGGCGCGCUUAAGCCCUGAAGCGAGGCUCAAAACAUGUUGAGCGGGCACUUUAGUGUUGUCAUCAAGGCUCUAAGACAUACUUUUCCUUGAAAAUGAGCAUAAUCCUAAAAAGGUGACACUAAACAAUUGUUGUUUCACUUUAUCGUAAAUUUUCUUCAAUUUCUGUCCAUAUAUUUGGUAUCCGUGCUUAUAGAAAUUACUCUUGGAUUACUCAUACAAAUUUGUAAUUUUUCUCCAUUUGCAUCUUUCUUAUUGAAGCCCACGCUUUAUUUUCGCUUUA